GAGGAACGAUCGCCGUUCACCAGAAUUCCAGGGGCGGCGGCGGCGAUUUCUAAUUUUGGGAGAGCUAGGGCUCGAUUUGGAAGGGGGAGAAUUAGGGCUCAAUUUUUGGGUGGCCUCCCCUAAAUCUGAGAGGCAGCAGCAGAAGCUCGUGCCGGCGACGAGAAGGCGACGGAGCUUAAGGUGUCGGCGGCGGCGACGACGGCGAAUCUUCGAGGAAAAAGCAGUAGUGCUGCGAUAUGUGUUCUAAUUUUGGAGUGAGGAAAGUAGAUUGAGGAGAGGAGGAAGCAGCCGAGGAGCGGCGCCCUCGGCCGGCACGGCCUCGCCGGAGCCGUUCGCGGCGGAGCCGGCUGGGAGGCGGAGCGAGAGAGAGAAAGAGAGAGAGAGGCGUGUUCUGAGUUUGAGAAGAG
rnacentral:lncRNA from 1 species